rnacentral:tmRNA from 1 species
UGUUCAGCAGUGCAAGGGGUUCGUCCCCGGCUAUGGCGAUAAACGGUAAGUGAAAUAAGUGUUGUGGACCCGGGGGCAGUGCCCGGCGUCUCCACCAGGAAAAAUCUCUCUGCAAGAGGGAUCUGUGGGGACGAAACAGGCUCGACGCGCAUGGUAAAGACUUAUCUUUUGCCCGGUAUUGUACCACCGUCAUCGGGCUAAACUUACAAGUGCCAAUGAUAACUCUGAGGUGCUCGCUGUCGCUGCAUAAGCGAUAAGCGCGGUUCGGGAGGGCACCGGGCAACAGAAGCCCUCCCACCUCAUUUUUCCUUUUGUGCAAAACGUCUUGCCAUUCUGGCUGG